rnacentral:lncRNA from 1 species
CUGAGGCUUUGUAUUCCUCUCAGUUGCUUAUAAGUAACCCCUACUGACUCCAGUACUGUCCUAAUAUAACCUGAGUCACUGCAGCAUUUUCCAUAGCAGAGGCUUGGUCCUGUGCUCUCUUCAAGGGUAUCUACUUUCACAGAAUUAAGGUAUAGAGGAAGGGCUCUCAGCUGGCAUCAAGGCCCUGAGAGGUGGGUGAUUACAUCAACCAUUUCAGGAUGUGGUGGAACAAGCAGUAAGAUUGUGUUCCAUUAACUCAAGAAUGGAAACCACUGGAACUAGGACUGCUCUGAGUCUCCAUUUUCAGCUUCAUCACCAUCUCAGGCAGCCAUAUUUACGAUCUUGCUUUUGUUCUAUGUGAAAAAAUUCAGACAGUAGCUCAGAGUUGAGCAGGGACAUUUCAUAACCUUCCGUGCUUUGGCAGGGCGGGAAAACUCUUCCCACACUGGAUCUGUGUGGGACUGUUAUAUUUUCAACUGCAGUUCUAUUCAGCGUCCUGCCACAGCGUGAUGCCCGGUGUGAGGCAUUACAGCGGCACAGCAGGCCUCCUCACAGAGUGCCCUAUGGCCAGAGAGCGGGAGCUUACAACCAAAAUAACUGCAGAACAUCACAUAGAUUCUGCACGAACAGCUCCUUCUGACUUCUCUUCUACGUGCGGCAAAACGAUCAAGAAAAUAUCUAGGAUUAGUCCCGCGUUUUCAGGAAGGAGCCUUUUGCAAGAGGAGCUGUUUCUCUGCAGUGCUGCCACUAGAGGUCUGUAUUGUCCCGUUUAACUGUUGCUCUGCUUUAUCGGCUGUACCAGAACAGAUGGCACAUUUGUUAGUCUUCAUUGAGUGUAUUUUUCCUUUAUUGAAGCGUGAGGGAAUUUGAUGUUUGCAGGUAGAAGCAGCUAGGUAGUUAAAAAUUUAUAAUGUUUAUUAUUUCUUUGUGCAUUUAUAUUGAUGGGAGCAGCAAAGUAGUUGAUUUGUCUUCAUCCAUUUGAUGGACACAUGCUAAUAUCGUGAGUAGGACAUUCAUUUUGUCUCUGAUGUAACACUGGAAGAACAGAUGAUAUUUAGUUGGAAAUGUCACUGAAGUAAUGUGAACACAUCAAUUCCUUGAUGCUGCCUGUCACUUAAGAUUACAGGUGCAUUUUUCUACAGGGACGUUAGAACAGCUGGAGGCAAUAUGAUUAUUUUGGGGUAUGUGCAUGUGUAGAAAUGUGUCCUGCCGUUCCUUUUGUGCAUAAUAGCUGAGAAGUGGCCCAAAAUCUGAAUAUUUGGGUGAUUUCAAACAUGUUGUUGUGUUGUAUUUUUCUCAGCUGAUAAUAAGAACAUGGAGAUAGCAGUUGGUUCAGGC